AGAGUUUGAUCCUGGCUCAGAAUCAACGCUGGCGGCGUGCCUAACACAUGCAAGUCGAACGAGAAAGUGGAGCAAUCCAUGAGUAAAGUGGCGCACGGGUGAGUAACACGUGACUAACCUACCCUUGAGUGGGGCAUAACCUCGGGAAACCGGGGCUAAUACCGCAUAACACCUUCGGGUCAAAGGAGCAAUUCGCUUAAGGAGGGGGUCGCGGCUGAUUAGCUAGUUGGUGGGGUAAUAGCCUACCAAGGCAAAGAUCGGUAGCCGGCCUGAGAGGGCACACGGCCACACUGGCACUGAAACACGGGCCAGACUCCUACGGGAGGCAGCAGUGGGGAAUCUUGCACAAUGGGGGAAACCCUGAUGCAGCGACGCCGCGUGAGCGAUGAAGCCCUUCGGGGCGUAAAGCUCUUUCGGCAGGGAAGAUGAUGACGGUACCUGCAGAAGCAGCUGCGGCUAACUACGUGCCAGCAGCCGCGGUAAUACGUAGGCAGCGAGCGUUGUUCGGAGUUACUGGGCGUAAAGGGUGUGUAGGCGGUUGUUUAAGUUUGGUGUGAAAUCUCCCGGCUCAACUGGGAGGGUGCGCCGAAUACUGAAUGACUAGAGUGCGGGAGAGGAGAGUGGAAUUCCUGGUGUAGCGGUGAAAUGCGUAGAUAUCAGGAGGAACACCGGCGGUGUAGACGGCUCUCUGGACCGCGACUGACGCUGAGACACGAAAGCGUGGGUAGCAAACAGGAUUAGAUACCCUGGUAGUCCACGCCCUAAACGAUGCAUAUUUGGUGUGGGUCAUUCAGUUGAU
rnacentral:rRNA from 1 species